AUUCUAAUAGCUUAUGUAGAGCGUGAUAUUGAAGAUAUCAAUGAGAUUUUUUAUCUUAGGAUA
rnacentral:tRNA from 1 species